AGCACAGCGUCAGUUACCCAGGAAGAGCCUGAGUUCAGAGAGUAGAUGGCAGUUGUCCUGUAUUUUUGCUGGUAUUUGGUUGGUAUCCCCGUAUUCUCCUACACAUAGCCUAUAAACAAAACCUACAUCCCUACCAAGGGAAAAAACCUCUUCUGAUUCCUGCCAUCAAGGCUUUGAAAAAUCUGAGUGCACAAUUUUUUGUUUCAUGCUGUACAGCCGUGCCUCUGAAGUAGUUCCUGAGGUUCUCCACGAACAACACUUUGGGGGUGGAGGAGAAAACAAGUCCCUAAAGAGCAAACAAAACUGCCAUCUGGAGAUCCCAUGAUGAGUAUGGUCACUCUGAAACACAGGAGCUCAGUCCUCUUCCGAUCAGCUAUGCGACCUCUCAGUGUGCAUGUGGCAUGCAUUCAUCCAUCCAUGUAAAUGGGUGUGGCACCGGGGGACGAUGGGAAACACCUAUAACCUUGGCACUCCGGAGGCAACAGGAGGAAGAUCAAGAAUUCAAAUCUAGGGCUGGUGAGAUGGCUCAGUGGGUAAGAGCACCCGACUGCUCUUCCGAAGGUCUGAAGUUCAAAUCCCAGCAACCACAUGGUGGCUCACAACCAUCUGUAACAAGAUCUGACACCCUCUUCUGGAGUGUCUGAAGACAGCUACAGUGUACUUACAUAUAAUAAAUAAAUAAAUCUUAAAAAAAAAAAAAAG
rnacentral:lncRNA from 1 species